rnacentral:rRNA from 1 species
GAUGAACGCUGGCGGCGUGCCUAAUACAUGCAAGUCGAGCGAACAGACGAGGAGCUUGCUCCUCUGACGUUAGCGGCGGACGGGGGAGUAACACGUGGAUAACCUACCUAUAAGACUGGGAUAACUUCGGGAAACCGGAGCUAAUACCGGAGAAUAUAUUGAACCGCAUGGUUCAAUAGUGAAAGACGGUUUUGCUGUCACUUAUAGAUGGAUCCGCGCCGCAUUAGCUAGUUGGUAAGGUAACGGCUUACCAAGGCAACGAUGCGUAGCCGACCUGAGAGGGUGAUCGGCCACACUGGAACUGAGACACGGUCCAGACUCCUACGGGAGGCAGCAGUAGGGAAUCUUCCGCAAUGGGCGAAAGCUUGACGGAGCAACGCCGCGUGAGUGAUGAAGGUCUUCGGAUCGUAAAACUCUGUUAUUAGGGAAGAACAAAUGUGUAAGUAACUAUGCACGUCUUGACGGUACCUAAUCAGAAAGCCACGGCUAACUACGUG